rnacentral:rRNA from 1 species
GACGAACGCUGGCGGCGUGCCUAAUACAUGCAAGUCGAGCGAGCUUGCCUAGAUGAAUCUGGUGCUUGCACCAAAUGAAACUAGAUACAAGCGAGCGGCGGACGGGUGAGUAACACGUGGGUAACCUGCCCAAGAGACUGGGAUAACACCUGGAAACAGAUGCUAAUACCGGAUAACAACACUAGACGCAUGUCUAGAGUUUAAAAGAUGGUUCUGCUAUCACUCUUGGAUGGACCUGCGGUGCAUUAGCUAGUUGGUAAGGUAACGGCUUACCAAGGCAAUGAUGCAUAGCCGAGUUGAGAGACUGAUCGGCCACAUUGGGACUGAGACACGGCCCAAACUCCUACGGGAGGCAGCAGUAGGGAAUCUUCCACAAUGGACGCAAGUCUGAUGGAGCAACGCCGCGUGAGUGAAGAAGGGUUUCGGCUCGUAAAGCUCUGUUGGUAGUGAAGAAAGAUAGAGGUAGUAACUGGCCUUUAUUUGACGGUAAUUACUUAGAAAGUCACGGCUAACUACGUGCCAGCAGCCGCGGUAAUACGUAGGUGGCAAGCGUUGUCCGGAUUUAUUGGGCGUAAAGCGAGUGCAGGCGGUUCAAUAAGUCUGAUGUGAAAGCCUUCGGCUCAACCGGAGAAUUGCAUCAGAAACUGUUGAACUUGAGUGCAGAAGAGGAGAGUGGAACUCCAUGUGUAGCGGUGGAAUGCGUGGAUAUAUGGAAGAACACCAGUGGCGAAGGCGGCUCUCUGGUCUGCAACUGACGCUGAGGCUCGAAAGCAUGGGUAGCGAACAGG